rnacentral:rRNA from 1 species
CCUACGGGAGGCAGCAGUGGGGAAUAUUGCACAAUGGGGGAAACCCUGAUGCAGCGACGCCGCGUGAGUGAAGAAGUAUUUCGGUAUGUAAAGCUCUAUCAGCAGGGAAGAAAAUGACGGUACCUGAUUAAGAAGCCCCGGCUAACUACGUGCCAGCAGCCGCGGUAAUACGUAGGGGGCAAGCGUUAUCCGGAUUGACUGGGUGUAAAGGGAGCGUAGACGGCAGCACAAGUCUGGAGUGAAAUGCCGGGGCUUAACCCCGGAACUGCUGUGGAAACGGUGCAGCUAGAGUGCGGGAGAGGUAAGUGGAAUUCCUAGUGUAGCGGUGACAUGCGUAGAUAUUAGGAGGAACACCAGUGGCGAAGGCGGCUUACUGGACUGUAACUGACGUUGAGGCUCGAAAGCGUGGGGAGCAAACAGGAUUAGAUACCCGAGUAGUC